UUCUGGUCACUCCAAUGGGGAGGGGGAGGGACGCCUUCUUUCUGCCAGCUGGAGGCGGAAGUCCAGGGAGGGGCUCCCUGCUGGUUGGUGAGGAUUGAAGUUCUACCUCCUUACCUGGACCCCUCUGACACCAAGCCAGCAGGACUGUUGGGGCACCACCUUCUUACAGCUUCAUAAAGAUAUCAACGCACACUGAGAGAUGCAUACAUUCCAUGAAGUUUGGUUCCUUCGGUUGUUACAGUCCGAGACUAAGAUGCAGUUCUGAAUAGUCCACAGAAGACCACGGAGGAGAAAAGAUUCUGGUCCCCGAAAAGAAAAGGAGAUACCUCCCAUCCACCAGCCAUGUGGCUCCAUCCUGGCUUGCAGCUAGUGGUCCCAGGGCACAGCGGCUUCGGUACUUGCUUCUAAACCGGGUUUGAAUCCCAACCCCUCCA